rnacentral:lncRNA from 1 species
GCCAAAUGAAACAAGUCACUUCUGCAAGGAGUUUGUAUGACUUUCCAAAUGAGGAAAAAGUCAAAAUCUCAGGGACUGUGACAUGAUUGCUACAGAAGAUGAAGAAAACAUGGCCCAGCAACCAGCUUCAUGAGGAAAGAGGACCACAGCUUUCCUUCAGAAAGCAUCAGGCUUCUGAAAUCCCAACAUUCAUUCAAGUGGAUGUAUUAGAAGAAAUGGUGAUAUGUAAGGCAUCUACUCACUGGGAUCUUACCCCUCGUUGCAAAGCAGCCACAUGGUUUGGAGAAUGUCCAGUCUUAAAAUUAAUGGCCUGACAGCAUUUGGUUGUGUUCCUGAGAUGUGAGUCUUUGUGCUAAGAAGAAAUUACAUCCAGCCGGGACGUGUUCCAACACUGACAACAGCCCUGGGAUCAAUGCUGUAAUGGCUUUUGGCUCUCACUUCCCUUGAACGUGGCUUGUGUAAGCUCAAAGACCAUGUUAAACACAAGGCAGUCCAGUACGUUAAGCUGGCUUUGAAAUGAAUCAAAUGUAAAUGAAUAAAUCAAAGUAGCAUGUUGCA